AAAAAGCCCUCUCCAUGCACCACCAGAUCUCUCAACGAAGUAUUGUAGAGUUUCACCUAGUCUCUGAGAAAGUCUUCUCCUCUCCCAUCUGCUCUCCAUACACCACCACAUCUCUCUCUCUUAUCCGAAGUAUCUUCUCCUCUCCCCUCUCUAUACACCACACACAUGGCACCCACCGCAAUGCCGAAGAACAAAGCCAAGAAGCGAAAGCUUGUGAAGAAAGUCGAUAAGAAACUGACCAAGAAGGUCAAGAUCAAAACCCUAGCAGCACUUCCGACCAAAGAAACGAACAAUGAAUUCGAGAACGACGCAUCCAGUCCCGACUCCGAACCCGAAUCUGAGUCCGAGACUAUCCAGAAGCUGCUCGAACCCUACACCAAGGACCAACUCAUCGAAUUCCUCGUCGACGCGGCCGCAGACGAUGCCGCUCUCUCCGAUAGUAUCCGCGAAGCCGCCGACCGCGACGUCUCGCACCGGAAGAUCUUCGUCCACGGCCUUGGCUGGGACACCACUCGCGAAACCCUAGUCUCUAUUUUCGAAUCGUUCGGCGAUAUCGAGGAUUGCAACGUCGUCACCGAUCGAGUUACUGGUAAGGCAAAGGGGUAUGGCUUCGUUGUGUUCAAGUCUCGAAUUGGAGCGAUGAAGGCCCUGAAUGAACAGAAGAAGCGGAUCGGUAGUCGAAUGGCGUGGUGCCAAUUGGCGUCGGUAGGGCCGGCGGCGCAGUCGCAGAGCCAGGACACGGCGGCGCGGAAGAUCUAUGUGAGUAACGUUCAGGCCGACGUCGAUCCGGAUAAAUUACGUGUUUUCUUUGCGAAAUUUGGGGAAAUUGAGACUGGUCCUAUAGGGUUCGACAUGCAGACUGGUAAAUCGAGGGGUUUUGCGUUGUUUUUAUACAAAACUGCAGAAGGGGCAAGGAAGGUGCUUGAAGAGCCGUAUAAGAUGUUUGAGGGUCACCAAUUGCAUUGUCAGAAGGCGGCGGAUGGGAAGAAUAAGGCCCCAGUGGCACCGGUGAUACCAACAGCGGUGCAGCCGGUGCAGGCGCCAGUUUUAGCAGCGCAGAACUUUGCGUUGUUUGGUCAAAACCCAGGUUUUAAUCCGAUGUACAGUGCAUUGUUUGCCAAUCCUAAUGCUGCGUUGUUCGCGGCUGCGCAUGGGGGCAUGGCAACAGGGUUUGGGGGGUAUGGUGCGCCCAUGGCAUCGCAUGGAUUUAAUUUAGGUGGGAAUUCUUCCGUGCUGGGGGCGUACGGGUCCGGUGCACCGACACUGCAGGGUCUGCAGCAUUCAUAUCCGAAUUUGCAAAAUGCGCAGUCAUCGUCGGCUAGGCCUAACGGGGUUGGUGGGUCUUUCAUUGGCUAUCCACCGUACAUGUGAUUAAGUGCAGCUGAGCAUGAGGAACAAUUUCGUGCAGUUUCGGAGAACUUUUAUCUAAGGGCUUAUUUGGAUAAAUAAGCGAACUUUGUGUUAUUUAUUUGACAUUUUUAGAGAUUAAUGAAGAUUGGGAUUGCGGAUUCUGUUUUUGGGUUCUCGAGUAGUAAGCUAAUGAUACCAGAUGCAGAACUUGGAUCCAGAUUAAUGAGGAUUGGGAUUUCGAAUUCUAUCAUUUGCGUCGAAGGUUUGUUGUACUUUGUUCUUUCGCCUGUUUUUCUUACAUUUCUUUGCUCUUUGGUUUUCCUUGCAGCUUCAUCACUUAAAUAUUUUUCUUAUUAAUUUUAUCUCUUACAAUUGCUUGUUAUGAUUAAUUCUUGAUAUAUUCUCCACUAAAGAGACAUUGUAAAUACUAAUUUGCCUCUUUUUUCUUAAAAGUUUUCGUUUACACGAUGAAAACCCCCGAGAAUGGUGGAUUAUCUAUGAUCAGAGGAUGUUGGAUUCUUGCACGCCCUUAUAAAACAUUUAUUGAUGUUCAGUCUACCAGAUUUUUUUUGGUUCUUGCAUUCACUUUUUCUCAAGUCUCCUUUUGUAGGAUUUAAUGCGCUUAAUGUUUAUUUUUACGACUGACUCUAUGAAAUUUCUUUUGGAAGAAA